GGCACUGUGGCUCAGUGGGUUAAAGCCCUGGCCUGCAGCGCCAGAAUCCCAUUGGUUGCUGGUUCGAGUCCUGGCUGCUCCA
rnacentral:tRNA from 1 species